UUUACCCGAAGGUAGUGUGCUAACCGCAAGGAGGCAGCUAACCACGGUAAGGUCAGUAACUGGGGUGAAGUCGUAACAAGGUAGCCGUAGGGGANCCUGCGGCUGGAUCACCUCCUUUCUAAGG
rnacentral:rRNA from 1 species